UAGAGUUUGAUCCUGGCUCAGGAUGAACGCUGGCGGCGUGCCUAACACAUGCAAGUCGAACGGACUUAUAACGAAACCUAGUGAAUUAUAAGUUAGUGGCGGACGGGUGAGUAACGCGUGGAAAACCUGCCGUAUACUGGGGGAUAACACUUAGAAAUAGGUGCUAAUACCGCAUAAGCGCACAGCUUCGCAUGAAGCAGUGUGAAAAACUCCGGUGGUAUACGAUGGUUCCGCGUCUGAUUAGCUAGUUGGUGAGGUAAAAGCCCACCAAGGCAACGAUCAGUAGCCGGCCUGAGAGGGUGAACGGCCACAUUGGGACUGAGACACGGCCCAGACUCCUACGGGAGGCAGCAGUGGGGGAUAUUGCACAAUGGGGGAAACCCUGAUGCAGCGACGCCGCGUGAGUGAAGAAGUAUUUCGGUACGUAAAGCUCUAUCAGCAGGGAAAGAAAAAAAGUCCACAGGACUUUGGACGGUACCUGACUAAGAAGCCCCGGCUAACUACGUG
rnacentral:rRNA from 1 species